GAAAAUCAAGUUAAAGUUUGAAAUCAAUAGCACAAGGUAAGAACAUCAAUAUUUCAAUAUAUUUUUAAAUUUGAUAUUAUUGAAAAAGUAUGAAAUUGAUGUUAAAUUAGAGUUUUCUUAUAUAAAGUUUUAUAUUCUUAAUAUGUUAGUGAAGAGAACUAAGAGGGAGUGAUGAGAAAUAUUGUAGAAAAAGGAAAGAAAUGUGUUAUAGACUUGGUUAUCAACAUUUCGUACUAAAACAGUUUUGGACAGCAAC
rnacentral:lncRNA from 1 species